AGCCAGACUCCUACGGGAGGCAGCAGUGGGGAAUAUUGCACAAUGGGGGGAACCCUGAUGCAGCAAUGCCGCGUGGGUGAAGAAGCACUCCGGUGCGUAAAGCCCUGUCAGCAGGGAAGAAAAUGACAGUACCUGACCAAGAAGCCCCGGCUAACUACGUGCCAGCAGCCGCGGUAAUACGGAGGAUGCGAGCGUUAUCCGGAUUUAUUGGGUUUAAAGGGUGCGCAGGCGGCACGGCAAGCCGGCGGUCAAAGCGCGGGGCUCAACCCCGCCCAGCCGUCGGAACUGCCGGGCUAGAGUGGGCGAGAAGUGCGCGGAAUGCGUGGUGUAGCGGUGAAAUGCAUAGAUAUCACGCAGAACUCCGAUUGCGAAGGCAGCGCACCGGCGCCCUACUGACGCGCAGGCACGAAAGCGUGGGUAUCGAACAGGAUUAGAUACCCGGGUAC
rnacentral:rRNA from 1 species